rnacentral:tRNA from 1 species
GGGCGCGUAGCUCAGCUGGUUAGAGCACUACGUUGACAUCGUAGGGGUCACUGGUUCAAGUCCGGUCGCGCCCACCA